UCCAGCUCCUCAUGGCUUUGGCAGUGGAACAUGGCAGCAUGUUAUUUGGGAAUAAGGACCCCACACAGUGUGUCUUUGUUUUGGCUUUUUGCAAAUGUAAAAAGUCAGAUGAACUGAAAAACUCAAGGACUAGAAGAUGGAAUCAACUUCAAGGAAGGAAGAAUUCAAACAGGAACACAUGCAGAGAGGUGAAGGAGGAGAAGGAGAAGAUUCCUUUUACAUGGAAAAGCUACAACAGCCUAUGUAGUUAGUCCAGUUAAAAUCAAGGACAUCUGACCACUUCAUAACAAAUAAGCACAGGUGCACCCCUGCUGCACCAGGCAUAUUAUUUCAGGCUGCUGUGAAGAUGUGGCUGCCAGGAUAAGGUCUUACAGUUAAAUUG